AGUUAAUGAACUUGUAUAAGUGUAUAUUUUGAAAAUAUAAAAAAGGAGAAAACCUCCUAUUAACUU
rnacentral:tRNA from 1 species